UUAUCAAUAUCCAAUUCCAGUCAAUUAAUUGCAAGCAUCAUAUAGUAAUAGAAAUGCGUUCAUUUAUUACGAGGCAAUGUUAACAAUAACAGUUGCAUUUUACACAUAAUAUUCAUAUUUGUAAAAACAAAUAAAUCAAGUCACAUUAUCACGAUAUCUUUCGCCUACCAUUUAGUCAUAGGGAUUUUUUUAAAUAUAGGUGAUGCAGAUCAUUAAAUUUCUUGCAGUGAAACACAAAAUGAUAUUCAUCCUCUAAAUUGGCAGGACGAGCAACUUGGAAAAAAUGGCAAGAUGACAAUUUCUGUAAAACGUUAGAAUAAACUAAUAAAAGUAGGCAGGACCAAAUAGAGCAAAAAACACAAAAAGCAGGACAGAGAUUACAACUAAAAAAAAUGCAGGACAAAAUUUUUCAUCUUAUCCCUCCCCUAAGAAAUUCAAAUGGUAGCGCCCUUAUUUUCGAAUGCAUAUACAGUUGCUCCUUUGGAAUACAAUAAGUUGCUCGAUAAGUUAUCCUUUGUUUCUACUAUAAAAGUCUUAUUACUUCAGUACCUGUACUAUGUAUGAGGUGCAAUUUGUGAUUAACAAGUGCUAACACGUUUAAUUCAUAUAUAACCGUAGGCUGCAUUAAGCUACUUGUAACAUGUAGAGGACUAAAACACAUACAAUAGACAAUGUAAAAAACGAGUUGAGCGAAAUGGAUUACUAGAGGUAAAAUGUUUAAUGUGAGUAAUACUGAGAUUUGCACGAAUUGUUGAAUUUUCAACGAUUGAAUUUCUUUCAUGUAACCCCAAAACGACAAUUUUGAAUAAGUCAAUGAUAAAAGAAGCAAGUGUCCAUUUUAUUAAAAAAAAUGUUAAGUACAAUUUCUUCAUGUUGUGUGGAAAAAAAACUUUUUUGCAAGCAGACGACUAGAGAUUCAGACGGUAGAUACUAUAACACGUCUGCCGUAAACAGCGUGUAACCAGAUGCCCCACAUGGUGCAGCUUUAUACGACCGCAGAGGUCGAACCCUGAACGGUUGGGGCAAGAAUGGACACAACAUUCAAGCUGGAUUCAGCUCUGAAUUUGAAUUGUGAUUAAAUAGUUGACACAGCAUAGGUUUCUGACACAGAAUGAAUGUGGUCUAAUGAAGUUAAAACAUUUUUUUUUCUUUUGAGCAAUUCACUUUGCUGUUGAAUA
rnacentral:lncRNA from 1 species